GACGAACGCUAGCGGCGUGCUUAACACAUGCAAGUCGAGCGGUAAGGCCCUUUCGGGGGUACACGAGCGGCGAACGGGUGAGUAACACGUGGGUGACCUGCCCUCAGCUCUGGGAUAAGCCUGGGAAACCGGGUCUAAUACCGGAUAUGACUCCAUGACGCAUGUUGUGGGGUGGAAAGCCUUGUGCGGCUGAGGAUGGGCCCGCGGCCUAUCAGCUUGUUGGUGGGGUGAUGGCCUACCAAGGCGACGACGGGUAGCCGGCCUGAGAGGGCGACCGGCCACACUGGGACUGGGACACGGCCCAGACUCCUACGGGAGGCAGCAGUGGGGAAUCUUGCGCAAUGGACGAAAGUCUGACGCAGCGACGCCGCGUGUGGGAUGAAGCUCUUCGGGGGUGUAAACCACUGUUAGCCCGGGAAGAAUCUCCUGAUUCAUCAGG
rnacentral:rRNA from 1 species